GCCAGGCGUGGGGCUGUGCACCCCUAGUCCAGCUGCUCGGGAAGCUGAUGUGAGAGGCUUGCUUGAGCCCAUGAGUUAGAGACCAGGCUGGGCAACAUAGCUAGAACCCAUUUCUA
rnacentral:sRNA from 1 species